rnacentral:rRNA from 1 species
UGAACGCUGGCGGUAUGCUUAACACAUGCAAGUCGAACGGAAACGAUACUAGCUUGCUAGUAGGCGUCGAGUGGCGGACGGGUGAGUAACGCGUAGGAAUCUGCCUGAUAGUGGGGGAUAGCCCGAAGAAAUUCGGAUUAAUACCGCAUAAUCUAUUCGUAGUAAAGUGGGGGACUUUCGAGCCUCACGCUAUCAGAUGAGCCUGCGUAAGAUUAGCUUGUUGGUAGGGUAAAAGCCUACCAAGGCGACGAUCUUUAGCUGGUCUGAGAGGAUGAUCAGCCACAUCGGGACUGAGACACGGCCCGAACUCCUACGGGAGGCAGCAGUGGGGAAUAUUGGACAAUGGGGGCAACCCUGAUCCAGCAAUACCGCGUGUGUGAAGAAGGCCUGAGGGUUGUAAAGCACUUUCAAUUGUGAAGAAAAGUUAGCGGUUAAUAACCGUUAGCCUUGACGUUAACUUUAGAAGAAGCACCGGCUAACUCCGUGCCAGCAGCCGCGGUAAUACGGAGGGUGCAAGCGUUAAUCGGAAUUACUGGGCGUAAAGCGUGCGUAGGCGGUUUAUUAAGUCAGAUGUGAAAGCCCCGGGCUUAACCUGGGAACUGCAUUUGAAACUGGUCGACUAGAGUAUGGUAGAGGAAAGUGGAAUUUCUGGUGUAGCGGUGAAAUGCGUAGAUAUCAGAAGGAACAUCAAUGGCGAAGGCAGCUUUCUGGACCAAUACUGACGCUGAGGUACGAAAGCGUGGGUAGCAAACAGGAUUAGAUACCCUGGUAGUCCACGCCGUAAACGAUGAUAACUAGCCGUUGGGGGGAUUUACCCUUUAGUGGCGAAGCUAACGCGUUAAGUUAUCCGCCUGGGGAGUACGGCCGCAAGGUUAAAACUCAAAGGAAUUGACGGGGACCCGCACAAGCGGUGGAGCAUGUGGUUUAAUUCGAUGCAACGCGAAGAACCUUACCUGGUCUUGACAUCCUGCGAACUUUCUAGAAAUAGAUUGGUGCCUUCGGGAACGCAGUGACAGGUGCUGCAUGGCUGUCGUCAGCUCGUGUCGUGAGAUGUUGGGUUAAGUCCCGUAACGAGCGCAACCCCUAUCCUUAUUUGCCAGCACGUCAUGGUGGGAACUAUAAGGAGACUGCCGGUGAUAAACCGGAGGAAGGCGGGGACGACGUCAAGUCAUCAUGGCCCUUACGACCAGGGCUACACACGUGCUACAAUGGGAAGGACAAAGAGCCGCGAAGCCGCGAGGUGUAGCUAAUCUCAUAAACCUUUUCGUAGUCCGGAUUGGAGUCUGCAACUCGACUCCAUGAAGUCGGAAUCGCUAGUAAUCGUAGAUCAGAAUGCUACGGUGAAUACGUUCCCGGGUCUUGUACACACCGCCCGUCA